UUGAACGCUGGCGGCAUGCCUUACACAUGCAAGUCGAACGGUAGAGGGGCAACCCUUGAGAGUGGCGAACGGGUGAGUAAUAUAUCGGAACGUGCCCAGUCGUGGGGGAUAACGCAGCGAAAGCUGCGCUAAUACCGCAUACGAUCUAUGGAUGAAAGCGGGGGAUCGCAAGACCUCGCGCGAUUGGAGCGGCCGAUAUCAGAUUAGGUAGUUGGUGGGGUAAAAGCCCA
rnacentral:rRNA from 1 species